CAAACGCUACCGCCGAGUUUGAAAACUGUUUGAAAAAUGUUUCUACGAUAUUAGGAGGGAGCGACUCCGGUGGAAAACGACCGGCACCACCUGAUUCUUCGGAAAAACAGAAAGAGAAUUGGAAAAAAUAUGAAGAAAAAAGGCCCGAACGAAAAUUUUGCGAAAGUUGGAAGUUGGGCAGGGAUUGGCUGACGUAUGACAGUGAAGCUUAGGCAAUGAAGUGCACUUUGUGCCUAGAAUUCUACAAGAGCGGCGAUUCUCUUAAAAAUGAAAAAGCUACUCAUAAGUUUCGUGGUCAGAACACAUUUCUGGAUGGCUCUAAGAACAUUCGAAUUUCUGCUGUGACUGAACACGAAAGUUCAAAAUCACACAGGAGAGCCAGUGAUGUGUUAAAGGCAGCCAAUUCGAGCACUGAAGAGGUCACCAAAAGCCAAGCCGGCCAAGCACUUAUUUCACUGAAAAGUGCAGAGCGCCACAGGUUGGCUUAUUUAUUUAGAAAUGCCCACUAUGUUGCCAAAUGCAAUAUGUCACUAAGUGACUAUUGCAUGCUCUCUGAACUUGACAAGGCGAAGGGCCUUGACAUUGGUAGUACAUACUUAAGUGAAAAAGCGGCACUGAAAUUCAUCAUUUCAAUAGCUGAUUUUGAAUCGAAUAAACACACUGAAAAAGUAAGAGCAGCCCCCUUCCAUUCCCUUAUUAUGGAUGGUUCCACCGACCUCUCUGGUGAUGAGCAGGAAUCGCUCUACAUACGGUUUUCAAAACAUGGAAAAGUCAGUGAACAAUUUGUGGCCAUCGGUUUACCAGCCUCAACAUGCUCCGCUGACCUCUUUCAGCACGUCAAAAAUGUGUAUGAUGAAUGUGGCUUAAACACAGGUACAUUUUAGUUUAAGUGGCUUUAAUAGAAAAUGUAUUUAAUAUAUUAUGACUGUAUUCUUAAAAGCAUUUCAAAUGCAAUAUGUAUACUCAAUAACAUAUGUACACUUAUGUAUUCACAAAAUGUUUGUACAGUGCAAAUCUAACGUCAUUUAUGCCUUCAAAAUUGUAAAGAAAUUCUAAUUGUUUUUUGUGAAAAUGUUUACAAAACUCUCUGCUUUAAACAAGUUUUUUCUUGAAACUUUGCUUGCUUUUCUGCGUUUAAAUCAAAUGUUUCUUUUUUAACCAGGUUCGAUGGUUGGAAUGUGCUCAGAUGGGGCUGCCAACAUGACUUGCAUUAAAUCUGGAUUGGCUGCACUUCUUCGAAGAGAAGUUGGGGAGGAGUUUUUGAAUGUCCGUUGUCUGGCACACAGACUUGAACUUGCAGUUCGAGAUGUAUUCAAGACAGUUAAACUCUACGACAAAUUGAUGACUCUUUUAAUUGGUCUGAACUUUUUUUAUAUGAAACAUAAUAACAAAAAUAAAAACGGCUUGAUCACAACAAUGGCAGCUCUCAAUGUCAAAGGCCUUCUACCACCGAAGGUCACAGGCACAUGCUGGCUCUCACACAUUUAUGAUGCACUGACCAGUCUAAUGAGGACUCAUGAGGCAUAUGCAGCCCAUCUGUAAACGCUGUCGCAUACUAACCCAAAGGCUGGUGGCUUUGGAAAGCUGAUACUUGACAAGAACUUGAUGGCUUUUGCCAUUUUUAUGCAGGAACUUCUAAAGCCAUUGAUGCAGCUGUCAAAGAAGCUUCAGAGCAAAAACAGAACUUUGGCAGACAGCAUGAUCUGGGUUGAAACAACAGCAGAUCUCACUGAUGAAGUAGAUGAAAGACUUUGGUGAUGACAGUGUGCAGGCUAUUGUAGCUGCCUUUCCUGAAACCCUUGGUAGAGAGGGCUUUGAUGCUGAUAUAGUGAUGACAGAGUGGAAGACUCUCAAGAAGCUGCUUGUUAAAGUAUUGUUUUACACAUUCAAUUACUUAAAAUGUACAGGAUGUCCAUUUGUUACUAACUUAGAACAUAACACUGCAAUGCAUCAUAUUUCAUUUACAAUAUAAUGUACUAAAAUUUACCUAAACUGAUUUGCCCUGUAUUGUCAUUUAAAUUAAAGUGACCGCUCAACUCAAAUAUUAUGACUAUGUUAAAUUAAUCAUUAAUGUAACACAAUAUGUAUAUACUCAUUGAGUCAUGUCACACAAGAUCAUGAAGAAAUAAAAACAUUCUUGUACUACUGAGGAUAAGCGGAGAUCCCAAGUAUCAAUAAGGUAUAUGUAAUGAUUUUAAUCAACAAUUAUUGUACAGGCAUGGUGUAAAGCUCACUGACUGUGACAUAACAUGGGAUAUGGUGUUUGAAGAGGACUUGCCUAAUAUCAACCUCAUCAUUGACCUGGUGCAAAGCCUCCCUCCUACAAGCGUGUCCUGUGAGACCAGUUUCUCUCAAAUGAAGCUUAUAAAAACAGCACGCAGAUUGAACAUGAAGGGCACGACAUUAAACAGCAUAAUGCAGACCAAGUUGUUGUCAUCAGAUGUUGCUGGCUUUGAGCCUAACCCAGAUAUUGAUUAUUGGCUGGUAAACAAAUUUGCUGAAAAUUCAUUGUUAAUUUUUAUAUAAACUGUAAAGCAUUUACUUUAUUGAUAAUGCUAAUUCAUAUAAAAAUAAUAUUUACACAUAAUUUUGAAUUGUUCUCCAGUGUACAGCAGAGAGACCACAUGGACAUAGGCGGGUCAAUUAUGCACGCAAGAAUGUACAAGAAGGUGUCAGUGUUGUUACGAGUACUAGCCAUGUCGAGUUGGAAGAAGAUGAAGAUGAAAGCUUGCCAAUUGAAACUGACAUUUUGAAUGCAGUUUAUUGUGGCUACAAGACGAUGACUCAGACUGUGUUGUGGAUUUUCAAAAUGAAAAUGAAAUGCUCAUUAAAUCUUUUUGUACAUAGUGCAAUUAUAAUGAUAAAUGUGCUCAAUAGUUUCAUCAAACUAAACAAGUACCAUGUAUGGUCGCUUUUCGUGUUAUUUUAUUAAUAUAUUUAUGUAGUUGGUAGGUCCUGUAAAAAAGAGGAGGUCCUGUAUUUUUUCCCAGUUUACAGGACCUACUGUCCUGUAAAAAUUUGACUAGUUUGGUGGAGACUGGUAGGAGCCACGUUCUAGAAGGACUGCGCUUGAUGCAUGUGCGUUAAGUGUUUUCAAAUUAGCCCCUAUGCAGUCAACACAUGUGUGCCUUAACUGGAUUUGUGUAAAGAAGGAACCUUGCUUUGAGCAAAAAAUACCAUGAUAAAAGCCAGU